rnacentral:sRNA from 1 species
UGUCAGCUCUGGCAACUAAAGUCCUGUAUUUAUUUAUAGAGCAGAUACAGCCUGGGCAGCAGCAGCACUGCAAACAUUCCCACAUUGCCCCACCAUUGUGCCUCAACCUUGCCAUGGAGAGACCAUCUUUAGGGGUAAGAGAGUAGCUCAGGCACCAUGCCUUUGGCCCCCUCUGUUAAA